rnacentral:rRNA from 1 species
ACAGGUGCUGCAUGGCUGUCGUCACCUCGUGUCGUGAGAUGUUGGGUUAAGUCCCGCAACGAGCGCAACCCUUGUCCUUAUUUGCCAGCAAGUUAUGUUGGGAACUCUAAGGAGACUGCCGGUGACAAACCGGAGGAAGGUGGGGAAGACGUCAAGUCAUCAUGGCCCUUACGGGCGGGGCUACACACGUGCUACAAUGGGCGGUACAAAGGUUUGCAAACCCGAGAGGGGGAGCAAAUCCCAAAAAGCCGCUCUCAUUCCAGUUCGAACUCUGCAUCUCCCCCGCGUGAAGUCAAAAUCUCUAGUAAUCGUAAAUCAAAAUGUCCCGGUAAAUACU